CCUACGGGUGGCUGCAGUGGGGGAUCUUGCACAAUGGAGGAAACCCUGAUGCAGCGACGCCGCGUGAGUGCAGACGUAUUUCGGUAUGUAAAGCUCUAUCAGCAGGGGAGAAAAUUACAGUACCUGACGAAGAAGCCACGGCUAACUACGUUCCAGCAGCCGCGGUAAUACGUAGGAGGCAAGCGUUAUCCGGCGUUACUGGGUGUAAAGGGAGCGUAGACGGUUAUGUAAGUCUGGAGUGAACGCCCGGGGCCCAACCCCGGGACUGCUUUGGAAACUGUGUAACUGGAGUACAGGAGGGGCAGGCGGAAUUCCUGGUGUAGCGGUGAAAUGCGUAGAUAUCAGGAGGAACACCGGCGGCGAAGGCGGCCUGCUGGACUGAAACUGACGUUGAGGCUCGAAAGCGUGGGGAGCAAACAGGAUUAGAUACCCCAGUAGUC
rnacentral:rRNA from 1 species